UACGUAGGGUGCAAGCGUUAAUCGGAAUUACUGGGCGUAAAGCGUGCGCAGGCGGUUUUGUAAGUCUGUCGUGAAAUCCCCGGGCUCAACCUGGGAAUUGCGAUGGAGACUGCAAGGCUAGAAUCUGGCAGAGGGGGGUAGAAUUCCACGUGUAGCAGUGAGAUGCGUAGAGAUGUGGAGGAACACCAAUGGCGAAGGCAGCCUUCUGGGCCAACACUGACGCUCAUGCACGAAAGCGUGGGGAGCAAACAGG
rnacentral:rRNA from 1 species